rnacentral:rRNA from 1 species
GAUGAACGCUGGCGGCGUGCCUAAUACAUGCAAGUCGAGCGAACAGACGAGGAGCUUGCUCCUCUGACGUUAGCGGCGGACGGGUGAGUAACACGUGGAUAACCUACCUAUAAGGCUGGGAUAACUUCGGGAAACCAGAGCUAAUACCGGAUAAUAUAUUGAACCGCAUGGUUCAAUAGUGAAAGACGGUUUUGCUGUCACUUAUAGAUGGAUCCGCGCCGCAUUAGCUAGUUGGUAAGGUAACGGCUUACCAAGGCGACGAUGCGUAGCCGACCUGAGAGGGUGAUCGGCCACACUGGAACUGAGACACGGUCCAGACUCCUACGGGAGGCAGCAGUAGGGAAUCUUCCGCAAUGGGCGAAAGCCUGACGGAGCAACGCCGCGUGAGUGAUGAAGGUCUUCGGAUCGUAAAACUCUGUUAUUAGGGAAGAACAAAUGUGUAAGUAACUAUGCACGUCUUGACGGUACCUAAUCAGAAAGCCACGGCUAACUACGUG